CGGUACAGAUGCAGUAGCGGUUGAAAUACGACGCUACACAACCGAAUAGGCAGAGCAGGCGCAGGCAGGAGAACUGUCAGGCGCGGGCGGGAGAAAAUGUCAGGCGCGCGGAAGAAAAAGCAGGCGGGAAGGAGAAAUUGCAGGUGUGCGCGGGAGGGAGGAAGAGAGAGGAGAGGGAAAUAGGGAAUCGACUGAGAAAUUUGGGGGGGGGAAACCAGUCCGCGCGGAGGGAGAAAGAGAGAGGAGAGGGAAUCGAUCGACUUACUUGCAUCCCCCAUCGCCGGCGGAUCCAUCUCCCAUCACCAGCGGCUCCAUCCACGAUCGCCAGCGGUCCAAGUCCAACCCCCAUCGCCGGCGGCUCCAUCCCCUCGCCAGCAGCUCCAACACCCAUCGCCGCUUUGUUCUGCCCCUCCCUCUCCCUCUCUCUACUCUGUUCUGUUCAUCUCUCUCUCGCUCCGUCUACUUUGUUCCUCCCUGCUCGGUUCUGCUUAUAGAUUAUAGUUCUGCUAUAAUUUGUUAGGUAUCGUUAGAAAUUAAUGGUGACUUUGUGCUAUAAUUUUAUAUGUGACAUUAUAGGCUAUUAUAUUUCUGUGAAAAUUAAUCAAGAUAUACAUAUGUACUAAAUUGGUGAUUUAUACGGUGCCAUUAUAGGCUAGUAUAUUUCUGUGAAGUCGCAACACCGCAAGCCGCAAGCGUUAUAAAGCUGUGAGGGGGGUGGGUCGCCGCAACUCGCCACGCCGUAUUCAAAACUAUGAUUCCGAGUGAACUUUUGUGGUGGCAGAUUUCAGUUUCAGCCAAACAUAAGGCUCUCUGCUACCCCAUCUCGAUGAUCAUCCAGUAUAUAAACUGCCAUUUGUUACGCAUGAUUGAUGGAGCCAAAUCAGGUUAUUGGUCUUUAUAAGUUGGGUUUUUCUUGGGACGAUAAACGUCUUGAACAGAUCACUAUCGAGGUAUGCUUGCCAGGUAAGCAAAUUAAGAGGUUACAAAAGAAAGUAUAUAGUAUCCAUUUUAGUGAGAUUAAGUUUUCAGUCAUGACCUUCACUGAAGGUACUGGGAUUUUCUUUGAAACAACAGAAAUUUCACUUGUACUGAAUAAGGUUAUUGGUCUUUAUAAGUUGAGUUUUUCUUGGGACGAUAAACGUCUUGAACAGAUCACUAUCGAGGUAUUUGUAUCCUACAUUCGGAGCUCAUUUGACAUACAGGACAGAUCAACUUCAAUUCCUCUGUAGAGAUGCUGGUAGGUGCUCACACUUCUUUUACUGUUGCUCUUUGUAGUAUGGCAGUUAAUAAAAUUUAGAAACUUUAGAACAUUGCCAAGUUCAUAAUCUGAAUUGCAAUGGUCAACCUCAUUUUUCUCUAGUUUAAUUCAGUGUUACCAUAUUCUUUUUCUACACCUCAUCUGUGAAGAUUAUGGUUUAACUGACCUAUUGUUUGCCAUCUUUGUAUUAGACCUAGAUCACUUCUAUAUGUUGACCUUAGUACUAACUGGGAUUUCAUUAUUCCUUGAAAUAUGUGUAGUUCACACGAGUCUUGUCUAUGCUUUGCUUUAAAUUCUACUCCAUGCAUGGGAAUCAAGAUAAUUAAUUUGAUGAUUUCAGGGAGCACCAAAAAUAAUUGUUUCUCCAAAUCUAUAGAAGUUGUAGGUGCAGGAUUACGUGGAUGUGUUUGGUGGGCACAGAUAGUCUGAUUUGAUACAGGACCAUGUAAGAUGUCAUUCUAUCAAGUGUGGUGUAUUUUUAUCUGCAUAUCUGCAUAGAUACAUGAGUGUCUAAUAGAGUGAUUGUCCAUUUAAUACACCCAGUGUUGUUGUUACCUUAAUUUUUGCAUGGGACUAGGAAUUUCUUGGCGAUGUAUAUCUACCCUUGACUCAAUUGGCUUGUUCUCUGUUGUUCUGUUCUUCAGAUUCGAGCUAACUUUCAAUAUUUAGUGUGGUGGAUUGAAUUCCAUGAUAGGGAAAAGAGUAAGUUUAUUGCUGAAAAGAAACAAGUUGGAAACUACUACUACUAUACCAAGCUUUGAAUCCGGGGCACAUGGAAUUUUAAAAUCUAGCAACUUCAGCAAAAUCAGGCUUGAAUUAGUUCAUCUCAACAUCAAACUAACAGUGUACUGCAGCUUUGCCACUGAAUCUAGACACAAUGUUUUGUCCUGUUUUGCCAGCACCAUCUUUGAAGCCACUAGCUUUGAAUCAAUGAUUUCAGAAAGAACUCAAAUCUAUCUAUGGAUUACUAUAUAUUCCAGUGGAAGUAAGAUCCUUUUUUGCCAACCAUUUAAACUUCUGGUAACACUGCAUAUGUGUGCCUCAGAAUGUGAGCAGUCAUGUCUCUGCGCAGGUUGAGUUUUUCAUUUUAUUUUCUUUUGUGUCAAAGCAGAUCAUUUUAUUUGUUUGUGGGGUUUCUUCGUACAUGUACAUGGAUUGUAGUAUCACGUACAUGUGUCAUAUAUGGAAUCAUUUUUAUUUGUAAAGUGGAAUUGUUUUUA